rnacentral:tRNA from 1 species
CCGACCUUAGCUCAGUUGGUAGAGCGGAGGAUUGUAGUGGAAUUGAAUCCGGAAUCCUUAGGUCGCUGGUUCGAAUCCGGCAGGUUGGA